UACGUAGGGACCGAGCGUUGUCCGGAAUCACUGGGCGUAAAGCGCACGUAGGCGGACUCUUAAGUCGGUGGUGAAAUCCUGGAGCUCAACUCCAGAACUGCCUUCGAUACUGAGAGUCUCGAGUCCGGGAGAGGUGAGUGGAACUGCGAGUGUAGAGGUGAAAUUCGUAGAUAUUCGCAAGAACACCAGUGGCGAAGGCGGCUCACUGGCCCGGUACUGACGCUGAGGUGCGAAAGCGUGGGGAGCAAACAGGG
rnacentral:rRNA from 1 species